rnacentral:rRNA from 1 species
UACAGAGGGUGCAAGCGUUGCUCGGAAUUAUUGGGCGUAAAGGGCAGGUAGGUGGUCUUGUUUGUCCAGGGUGAAAUCCCGGAGCUUAACUUCGGAAGUGCCCUGGAAACGGCAAGACUAGAGUCCUGGAGAGGUUUGUGGAAUUCCCGGUGUAGCGGUGAAAUGCGUAGAGAUCGGGAGGAAUACCAGCAGCGAAGGCGGCAAACUGGACAGGAACUGACACUCAACUGCGAAAGCGUGGGGAGCAAACAGG